rnacentral:rRNA from 1 species
CCUACGGGUGGCAGCAGUGAGGAAUAUUGGUCAAUGGUCGGGAGACUGAACCAGCCAAGCCGCGUGAGGGAUGAAGGUACAGAGUAUCGUAAACCUCUUUUGUAAGGGAACAAAGGCGUGAACGCGUCUCUGGAUGAGUGUACCCUAUGAAAAAGCAUCGGCUAACUCCGUGCCAGCAGCCGCGGUAAUACGGAGGAUGCGAGCGUUAUCCGGAUUUAUUGGGUUUAAAGGGUGCGCAGGCGGUGUGUUAAGUCAGCGGUGAAAGCCCGGGGCUUAACCACAGCCGGGCAGUGGAACUUGGAAGACUCGAGUUGGAGAGAGGUAGGCGGAAUGCGCGGUGUAGCGGUGAAAUGCAUAGAUAUCGCGCAGAACUCCGAUUGCGAAGGCAGCAUGCUGGGCCAUCACUGACGCUGAGGCACGAAAGCGUGGGUAGCAAACAGGAUUAGAUACCCCAGUAGUC